UACGGGGGGGGGCAAGCGUUUGUUCGGAAUUACUGGGCGUAAAGCGGGUGUAGGCGGAUCUACAAGUCAGGUGUGAAAUCCCGAAGCUCAACUUCGGAACUGCAUUUGAUACUGUUGAUCUUGAGUACUGGAGAGGAUAGCAGAAUUCCUGGUGUAGUGGUGAAAUACGUAGAUAUCAGGAGGAAUACCGGUGGCGAAAGGCGGCUAUCUGGCCAGAUACUGACGCUGAGACCCGAAAAGCAUGGGGGAUCAAAACAGGG
rnacentral:rRNA from 1 species